UCGGAUAUGGUGUAAUGGCUAACAUUGCCGCCUCUCAUGGUGUGAGGGGACUUGUACGCGGCAGCUCGGGGUUCGAUUCCCCGUAUCCGAG